rnacentral:rRNA from 1 species
AUUGAACGCUGGCGGCAGGCUUAACACAUGCAAGUCGAGCGAGCGGCGGACGGGUGAGUAAUGUCUGGGAAACUGCCUGAUGGAGGGGGAUAACUACUGGAAACGGUAGCUAAUACCGCAUACCAUCAGAUGUGCCCAGAUGGGAUUAGCUCGUAGGGGGGGUAAUGGCUCACCUAGGCGACGAGACCUAGCUGGUCUGAGAGGAUGACCAGCAACACUGGAACUGAGACACGGUCCAUACUCCUACGGGGUGAAGCAGUGGGGAAUAGUGCACAAGGGGCGCAAGCCUGAUGCAGCCAUGCCGCGUGGAUGAAGAAGGCAUUCGGGUUGUAAAGCACUUUCAGCGAGGAGGCGUUACUCGCAGAAGAAGAACCGGCAAACUCCGUGCCAGCAGCCGCGGUAAUAC